rnacentral:pre_miRNA from 1 species
UACUCUUCCACCGUUCGUCUCGACUGGCGCCGUCCCACGCAUCAGUCUUGUCGAAUGGUGGGUGAGUU